rnacentral:rRNA from 1 species
GACGAACGCUGGCGGCGUGCUUAACACAUGCAAGUCGAACGGAAAGGCCCUGCUUGCAGGGUACUCGAGUGGCGAACGGGUGAGUAACACGUGGGUGAUCUGCCCUGCACUUCGGGAUAAGCCUGGGAAACUGGGUCUAAUACCGGAUAGGAGCCAUUUUUAGUGUGAUGGUUGGAAAGUUUUUUCGGUGUAGGAUGAGCUCACGGCCUAUCAGCUUGUUGGUGGGGUAAUGGCCUACCAAGGCGGCGACGGGUAGCCGGCCUGAGAGGGUGGACGGCCACAUUGGGACUGAGAUACGGCCCAGACUCCUACGGGAGGCAGCAGUGGGGAAUAUUGCACAAUGGGCGCAAGCCUGAUGCAGCGACGCCGCGUGGGGGAUGACGGCCUUCGGGUUGUAAACUCCUUUCGCUAGGGACGAAGCUUUUUGUGACGGUACCUAGAGAAGAAGCACCGGCUAACUACGUG